CGGCCAGCGAGCGCCAUUGUGGGCUCUCCCAACUCAGACGGCCAGCUCCUGCCACCACCUCACCCGCUUCUGUCGCCGCCAGCGUCGCCGGCCCGGCCGCCGAAGCAUGGCCGGACGCGCUCCCAGGCAGAUGGCCUAGGCCGAAAGGAUACACGUUCAGACGUUGUCCCAUGUCCUGGAGGAGAUUGGCCGCCUGCUGGCGUGCUUCAACCAAGAGGCAGCGGCGGGGGCUGCAAGCACUUCCCAGCGUCACCGAGGCGGCGACACACAUCCGCCGUGCCGAGACAACUGCGACGUGACGAACUUCCUCCAAAGGGGCGACCACCGAGGUUGUGACACACUUCCGCCCAGGAAGCCGAAGCGUCCAGCGCCGACUUCCGGAAUGACCCCUCCGACACCCUGUAGACGGAUCCACAGCCAGUCCGCGGCUAGGAACCGACCGACGGCCGGGACGCAGGCUCCGGUCAUGUGACCUCCCGGCGGGCGGGACGAUCUGACGUCGUGCUUUAAAUGUCUCGUCUUUCCGCGCGAGAACCGCGUUAAGGGGGCCUCGCCGGCGGGGUCCUGGUUGACGCUCGCUGAGCUUGGCUGGGUCGUUUCCGACGACGUCCGUGAUGGAGGCGCCUGGGUAACACCGGGCUUACGGAAAAAGCGGCAGGGGAAAUAGGCGAGACUCUCGGAAAAGCGAGAAAGGACAAGACAGUGAGUAGCCCUGCCCCGGGCGGAAACGCGAAAGCCGCUGAAAGGUUCCUGGGUUCUUAGCUGCAGCGUGGAGAACGCCGGCGCGUUUGGAAGCGGCUCUCCUAUUUUGGAGCAGCCUUUUCCUCCGUUUCACUGCGGCCAAUCAUCUGGAAGGAAUCAAAGCAACACUACUGAGUUUGGUUGGGUGGUGGGGGGUAAAGGGGUCCUUUUCUCUCUUUGUUUUCUUAUUAUUGGCAUCCCUGGAGCUCAGAAGUGCGUCGGGUUUUGCCCGAGUGCUGGGAUUAAAGACUUGCACCACCCCGCCACGCUCAAGAACGCGACCGAUCGUGUAUCGUUUAGGUCAGGAGGCCUUUUUCUUUUGCAUUCUUUCCUCUUGUCACUGAAGGCGAUAAGCUUGCAGGCUCAGAUUCCAAACAUCCAGCCAAGGCCCAAGGCUAUGCAAGCGCCGGUGCGGGUCAGGUCAGUAGUUCUAGGAAACCCACCCGUAGGGAAAGGUUACCAAGCAUAGGAGAUCAGGAGAUAAUUUGUGUCCUGCAUUGGGGAGGAUUAUCAGGAGGAGGAGAUCAAGAGAUAAUUUGUGCUCUGGCCUCACUCCCAGGUCCACUUUGUGAGGCUGUAAAAAGCAAGCUGGGGCUGAUGUCCGCCUCAGCCUCCUGGCUGCUCCAGGGUGUCUCUGUCCCCAGGCCUCAGUCAAUGCCUUGAACUCAGUACUGAUGUUCACACAAUCCCAAGAGCCCACUGUAUCCACCCACUAGCAGGGGGAUUGGCAAUCAGUCUUGAAGAUUUGGGGCUAUGAUUUUUUCCCACCAGAAGUCCUCUGGAACGUGUGUCUGCAUAAAUGAGGGGCCCCUCGAGGUGACUUAGGUAGGAGAGACUGCUGCCAACUCUGUGAAUUAAAUCCCCCGGAACCCCCAUCAUGGAUCAAAGAGAGAACUGACUUUAGCUAGUUGUCCUCUGAUGACCUCAAGUGCCCCGAGGCAGGGUGAACAAAGACUAAAUAGUUUAGAAGCCCAAAAGUAUACUAGGAUCUGCUCAUGGAUGAACCAAAACUGCCUUUUACCGUGUGGAAAGUUACCACCAGCACCAUGUGGAAAUUUUCUAUGUUCAAGGCUUCUGUUAGGUCGCUGGCCCGCUCCAGCUUUCAAACCUGAGCAGGUUAUUUAACCUGGAAUAUGUAACAAGAGCCAGGACUACAUAGAGAGAUCCUGUCUCC
ensembl:antisense